rnacentral:rRNA from 1 species
CUGAAGAGUUUGAUCAUGGCUCAGAUUGAACGCUGGCGGCAGGCUUAACACAUGCAAGUCGAGCGGUAACAGGGGGUGCUUGCACCCCGCUGACGAGCGGCGGACGGGUGAGUAAUGCAUAGGAAACUGCCCAGUAGUGGGGGAUAGCCCGGGGAAACCCGGAUUAAUACCGCGUACGCCCUUCGGGGGAAAGCAGGGGAUCUUCGGACCUUGCGCUAUUGGAUGUGCCUAUGUCGGAUUAGCUAGUUGGUGGGGUAAAGGCCUACCAAGGCGACGAUCCGUAGCUGGUCUGAGAGGAUGAUCAGCCACAUCGGGACUGAGACACGGCCCGAACUCCUACGGGAGGCAGCAGUGGGAAAUAUUGGACAAUGGGGGCGACCCUGAUCCAGCCAUGCCGCGUG